rnacentral:rRNA from 1 species
AACGAACGCUGGCGGCGUGCCUAACACAUGCAAGUCGUGCGAGAAAGUUCCUUCGGGAGCGAGUAAAGCGGCGCACGGGUGAGUAACACGUAGGUAACCUGCCCCCCAGUCUGGAACAACUAGAGGAAACUCUAGCUAAUGCCGGAUGAGACCACGAUCCCUUCGGGGGUUGCGGCCAAAGAUGGCCUCUACUUGUAAGCUAUCGCUGAGGGAUGGGCCUGCGGGCCAUUAGCUUGUUGGUGAGGUAACGGCUCACCAAGGCUGUGAUGGCUAGCUGGUCUGAGAGGAUGACCAGCCACACUGGGACUGAGACACGGCCCAGACUCCUACGGGAGGCAGCAGUGGGGAAUAUUGCGCAAUGGCGAAAGCCUGACGCAGCGACGCCGCGUGGGUGA